CCAAUACGCCUCCGCUAUUUGGUGGAUAUCUUGGCUUGGGAACCGAUGAAGAGCGUGACAAGCUGCGAUAAGCUCGGGUUAGUCGCAUGAAGACGUUGACCCCGAGAUCCUCGAAUAGGACAUCCACUUGCGGACCAAUAAUCCGCAAGAUUCCCUUAUGGGAAGGGGAACCCUGAGAAGUAAAACAUUUUAGUAUCAGGAGGAAAAGAAAACAAUAGUGAUUCCGUGAGUAACGGCGAGCGAAAGCGGAACAGAUCAAACCGAAUCCUUAGGGAAACCUAUAGGAAAUGUGGUGUGUGGACCCCGUACGACUUCCCUAGAGAAAAUGAAUACUCCUGGAAAGUUGAGCCAUAGAGCGUGAAAGCCGCGUAAUUGCAAUCUAGAAAGUUGCUGCGGGUGUUCCCGAGUAGUGCGGGAUGGUUUUCUCGUACGAAAAUGCCAGAUACACGCUGGCAAAUCUAAAUAUAUCCCAAGACCGAUAGCGAAAUAGUAGCGUGAGCGAAAGAUGAAAAGUAACCCGGAAGGGUCGUGAAAAGUGCUUGAAACCAAAUAGCUUAGUAAGGAUGCAGCCCGAAAGGAUAGAUUCUGCGCGAAUGAGUUCUGGUGACAGAACAUCAGAGCACAGAGGACUAGGGUUGCAUCAUCAGUCUGGAAUCAUUGGCCAGGGAGUUUAUAGUAGAAGCAAGCUUAAGUGGAUCACCCACGGAGGCAUAGGGAAACCGAUAUUCUUGCAACCUAAUUAUCACAUUAGGAAGGUCUAAUCGUAAAAGAGGGGUUCAGCCUCUCGGAUCACGUUUAGCAAAUCCUUCUAAGGAGUUAGGCCAGAAGAAUGGUCUAAAAGGGCCGAAAGUUUCUGCUAUAAUACCCGAAGCCGGUCGAUCUAUUCCUGGUCAAGAUGAAGUCGUUCGAAAGGAUGAUGGAAGUCUGCACCAGUUCUGAUGUGCAAAUCGAUUGGAUGAACUGGGAAUAGGAGCAAAAGGCUAAUCUAGAUCGGUGAUAGCUGGUUCUCCCCGAAGUUGGUGUCAGCCAAGUCUCAGACGAAGUCGCCAGUGACGUAGAGCACUAAUUGUGUGGUACGGGGGAGGAAUCCCUCGCCUCGCUCUUAAACUCCGAAAUUGCUGGCACUGAAGACUCUGGGAAACGGGUUGGUGGGCGUAAAGUCCAUCGCCGAGAAGGGAACAACCUAGACUUGGGUUAAGGUCCCUAAAUGCAGGUUAAGUGUUAAACGAAAGGGCGUUAUAUUUCUAAAACAGCAAAAGGAUAGGUAUAGAAGUAGCCAUUCCCUAACGAGUGUGUAACAACUCAUUUGCCGAGAAAUAUAGCCCCGAAAAUGGACGGGGCUCAAAUCUGCUACCGAGACCCAAGAGCACGGGCGGAAGAACCCCGUGAUCUGGUAGGGGAGCGUCCGGAUGGGGUUGAAGCAGGUGCGUGAGUUCCUGUGGACCCGUUCGGAGUGAAAAUCCUGGUAAUAGUAAAAGCAUAGAUGGGUUAGAAUCCCAUCCGCCGAAAGGGCAAGGGUUUCUUUGCAAUGCGUCGUCAGCGAAGAGUUAGUCGAUCCUAAGCGUACCCUUAACUGGUAUGCGCGAAAGGGAAACAGGUUUAUAUUCCUGUACCACGGCACUACGAAUAGCGGUAACGCAUGGUUUAAUGUUGACAGUUCCGGAUAGGUGGAAUAGGGUCGUCGAAUAUCUCCCUAUUUAAAUGUAUAAUGCUGGUGAAUAGAGUAAAUCUUAGACCCAGCUUAAAGCAUGAAUAGCCAUCCAAUUGUGGAAGGUUUCGCCGAGUCCAGGAUUUAUUAAAAAGACAUAAACAAGAAAUGCCGUGAUCGUACCCAGAACCGACACAGGUGCCCCUAGGUGAGUAGCCUAAGGCGUAUUCGUGUAAAGGAGGCUAGGGAAAUCGACAAAUUAGAGCCGUAACCUUGGGAUAAGGCUUGCUUGCGAACUUCUUCACGCAGCUUCGGCAGUGUGUGGGGGUUUUCAAGUUGCAAUAACUAGGGGGGGACGACUGUUUAACAAAAACAUAGGUUUCUGAUAGAGUGAAAACUUUUUUACAGAAGCUGAAACCUGGCCAGUGGCAGUUUGAUCAAUCCUGGUUACAACCAGAGUAAGUCCUGCUAAACGCCGGGAGUAACUAUAACUCUCUUAAGGUAGCCAAAUGCCUUGUCUGGUAAGUUCAGACGUGCAUGAAUGGUCCAACGUUCUCCCUAUUGUCCCAGCCUUCUGACGAUUGAAAUUACACUCCGGCGAACGGUCCGGAGAAGCCCAGCGGGACGAGUAGACCCCGUGGAGUUUUACUGCAGCCUGUUGUUGCGAUUUUGGACUAAAUGCAGAGUAUAGUCGGUAGCGUAGAUGCCGUGAUCUCGGUCACGGUGGAGCACAAAUGGAAUACCGGCCUUUCCUUCUGAAAUCGCUAACGGCAUCAAUAGUGUCGAACACCAGCAGGUGGGCAGUUUGGCUGGGGCGGCUCACUCUAGAAACAAUAUCUAGAGUAACCAAAGAUCAGCUCAAGCGGGUCAGGAAUCCGCUGUAGAGUUUAAGAGCAAAAGCUGGUCUGACUGGAUUCUGAUCACCAAGGAAUCCUGGGGCUAACGCCUGGUCUAGCGAUCCUUAACUAACCUCGUGUGGGUGGUUAAGGUGAUAGAAAAAUUACCCCGGGGGUAACAGAGUUGUCACGAGUAAGAGUUCCUAUCGACCUCGUGGCUUGCUUCCUCGAUGUCGGCUCUUCCUAUCCUGGGAGCGCACAUAUCGCUGCGCGAACGGUAGAUUGAAAGUUUACGUAUUUGCGCGCGAGUGCAAAACUUCCAAGGGUGGGGCUGUACGCCCAUUAAAAGGGAACGUGAGCUGGGUUCAGACCGACGUGAGUCAGGUCGGUUUCUAUCUGCUGGGCUUGUAGGUUGACUGAGGGUAAGGGAAAAUCAGUACGAGAGGAACAUUUUGCCGGCGCCUCUAGUGUACCGGUUAUCUGACAAGGUAUCGCCGGGCAGCCACGCGCCAAUGGAUAAGUGCUGAAAGCAUCUAAGCACGAAGCCAGACCCGAAAAUAGUCAGCCAAUCUUAUUCCGUAAUGUUGGGCUUUAUACUUUAGUAUUCUUGUUGAUGUUGGAAGGUAAGACCGCCUGUGAUGGUCGGAAGCCUUCCAAUCGAGUCUAUGCGAGGGAUUGCAUGGAUGGGAUCGUCAUAAUGAGAAUGGUGAAUAUGAAGUACCAGCGCGAGCGGGGUGCGGUGACGCAAACCGUGGGAACGAGACGAGUGCACCCGUAAAAGACGGGGUUGGUGAGGUAGGGGUGUACGUAGGAAGCUUUCGGGCGACCUAUUCAGCCCGCUACUCUCAACCGCACAAGUGUAUGGC
rfam:Archeaon Loki Lokiarch_contig000373, whole genome shotgun sequence.